CGCGGGAUGGAGCAGUUGGUAGCUCGUCGGGCUCAUAACCCGAAGGUCGCAAGUUCGAGUCUUGCUCCCGCUACUA
rnacentral:tRNA from 1 species